UCCCAGCAGUCCAAGUCGCAGCCACAUUUAUUGGGUCUAAAACAUCCGUAGCUUGCCUUGCAAGUCUUUUGUGAAAUCGGGCCUCUUAAGGGUCCGGCGGGCAAAAGAUACUGCUUGGCUAGAGACCGGGAGGCGUAAAGAGUACAGAUGGGGUAGCGGUAAAAUGUGUUGAUCCCUUCUGGACUAACAGUCGCGAAGGCGCUUUACGAGAACGGAUCUGACAGUGAGGGAUGAAGGCUAGGGGC
rnacentral:rRNA from 1 species